AUGCUCAACAUCUAGCUUAUGUCCAGCCCUUGCUCUAGCUGCUGCUGAUUCCUAUGUGUGCUGUGCCUCUGCCUUCUUCUGUCUCCCUGAUGAAUGUCCAUCCACCGCCAAAGCCUAGUUAUAUCUCUCCCUUUCCAGUGGCUGGGCCCUGUCCUGGUUACUUUUCUUUCUGAACUGCAUUCCUUUAAUUCAGCAGAUGCUGUGGCCCACCUUUUAUCAAGACCAUUUGUACACAGUUGUCUGGCUGCUUACGAAGUGGAGAGCCUAUGGAGGAAGGACUCCUCUCAGGAGACCCACAGAAGAAUGUGAUGGCUACUUUUGGUUGUCAGCUUGACUGGAUCUGGAAUCAACUAAAACACGAGCCACUGGACCCUCCUAUGAGGGACUUUCUUGAUCAGAUUAUUUGAAGUGGGAAGACCCACCUUAACUGUGGGCAAAACCUUCUGGUGCAGUCCAGAUAAAAAGUCAUUCAAGAAGCUUUUGCCUGCUGGCCUUCACUUUUGCUGUGGGCAAAGAUUAAUGCAAAGACUCAACUGGUCAAAAUGCUGAGAAAAAGUGACUGUUACACGCUCAGUCCAAAUAAGACAUCUAUAUCAUAUACCCCGUCUGCAAGGCUCAGGGGACACUGUGGACGAGGGGACCAAAAGAAUGAAGUGGAGGAGGGGGGAGUAUGGUGAAAGCUGUCUUCUGGACUGGACUCGAUGGGACCUCAGCCCUCAUGAACUCACAGCAGCUGUUAUUACCUGCAUAAAAGACCAGCACAGGAUGGAGCUCAUCAAAAUUCUAGAAUGUCUGGGGAGAGACUCAUAAGGCCACACCCCUAGUGGAGGAGUUAUUGGCAGUUAAUGGCUGCUGAAGGAGAGGGAGUCAUUUUUCUGGUUAAUAACCCCACACCCAUGCUCAUGAAAGCACCCCUAAUUCAACUCAGUGGGCCAUAAAAAGUAACAGACGUAAAAGUGGGAGAAGGAAAUCAGGAAGAAGAGGUUCAGAGGGGGUGAAGAUCAGAUUGUUAGAUACAUGUGUGACGUUAUUAAAGAAUAAAUAAAAAUAUUUGAUUAAAAGCUGUCAGCCUGGCAUGGUGGUACAUG